AACGAACGCUGGCGGCAUGCCUAACACAUGCAAGUCGAACGAGACCUUCGGGUCUAGUGGCGGACGGGUGAGUAACGCGUGGGAACCUGCACUUCAGUGGGGGAUAACGACGGGAAACUGUCGCUAAUACCGCAUACGCCCUCAGGGGGAAAGAUUUAUCGCUGAAGGAUGGGCCCGCGUCGGAUUAGCUAGUUGGUGAGGUAACGGCCCACCAAGGCGACGAUCCGUAGCUGGUCUAAGAGGAUGAUCA
rnacentral:rRNA from 1 species